rnacentral:rRNA from 1 species
UGUGUAGGCGGAAGCUUAAGCGUUUUGUGAAAUCCCUCGGCUUAACCGAGGAAUUGCUUGACGAACUGGGCUUCUUGAGGCAGGUAGGGGUGCGCAGAACUCUUGGUGGAGCGGUGGAAUGCGUAGAUAUCAAGAGGAAUGCCGGUGGAGAAGUCGGUGCACUGGGCCUGUCCUGACGCUGAGACACGAAAGCGUGGGAGCGAACG